UACGUAGGGUCCAAGCGUUAAUCGGAAUUACUGGGCGUAAAGCGUGCGCAGGCGGUUCGUUAAGUCAGCUGUGAAAGCCCACGGCUCAACCGUGGAAGUGCAUCCGAAACUGCAUGGCUGGAGUCUCGGAGAGGAAGGUGGAAUGCUUGGUGUAGAGGUGAAAUUCGUAGAUAUCAAGCAGAACACCUGCGGCGAAGGCGGCCUUCUGGACGAUGACAGACGCUGAGACGCGAAAGCGUGGGGAGCAAACAGG
rnacentral:rRNA from 1 species